AUACUCUGGUUUCUCCUCAGAUGGCAUAAAUUUUUCACCUUUUACUAAAGAUUUCUGUAGAGAGGAACAACUGAAUCUUUAACCAACUUCUUGAGGCUUUGUGCCCACAGAGCU